rnacentral:rRNA from 1 species
GUAGGUGGCAAGCGUUGUCCGGAAUUAUUGGGCGUAAAGCGCGCGCAGGCGGUCCUUUAAGUCUGAUGUGAAAGCCCACGGCUCAACCGUGGAGGGUCAUUGGAAACUGGGGGACUUGAGUACAGAAGAGGAAAGCGGAAUUCCAAGUGUAGCGGUGAAAUGCGUAGAGAUUUGGAGGAACACCAGUGGCGAAGGCGGCUUUCUGGUCUGUAACUGACGCUGAGGCGCGAAAGCGUGGGGAGCAAACAGGAUUAGAUACCCUGGUAGUCCACGCCGUAAACGAUGAGUGCUAAGUGUUAGGGGGGUUUCCCGCCCCCUUAGUGCUGCAGCUAACGCAUUAAGCACUCCGCCUGGGGAGUACGGCCGCAAGGCUG